rnacentral:lncRNA from 1 species
UGGCCACUGCUGUGGCUUUCUUGGAUCUGAACCAGACACUGCCUUUGUUUUUUACUACAUAUAAGCCAGAGGGAGUCCUGGGCUGCCUGAGCUGGGGAGGCGGGUGCGGUGACAGCAGCGCCCCUGCAGACUGAGCCUGCGAGUCCCACGCGUGAAGCCCACGCGUGAAGCCCGCAGGGUGCGCCGGGGAAAGGAGAAGAGAGUGAGCAGAACAAGGUCAUGGCAAAGUCU